rnacentral:rRNA from 1 species
AACGCUGGCGGCAGGCCUAACACAUGCAAGUCGAACGGUAACAGGAAGAAGCUUGCUUCUUUGCUGACGAGUGGCGGACGGGUGAGUAAUGUCUGGGAAACUGCCUGAUGGAGGGGGAUAACUACUGGAAACGGUAGCUAAUACCGCAUAACGUCGCAAGACCAAAGAGGGGGACCUUCGGGCCUCUUGCCAUCGGAUGUGCCCAGAUGGGAUUAGCUAGUAGGUGGGGUAACGGCUCACCUAGGCGACGAUCCCUAGCUGGUCUGAGAGGAUGACCAGCCACACUGGAACUGAGACACGGUCCAGACUCCUACGGGAGGCAGCAGUGGGGAAUAUUGCACAAUGGGCGCAAGCCUGAUGCAGCCAUGCCGCGUGUAUGAAGAAGGCCUUCGGGUUGUAAAGUACUUUCAGCGGGGAGGAAGGGAGUAAAGUUAAUACCUUUGCUCAUUGACGUUACCCGCAGAAGAAGCACCGGCUAACUCCGUGCCAGCAGCCGUUGGGUAAUACA